rnacentral:rRNA from 1 species
AUUGAACGCUGGCGGCAUGCCUUACACAUGCAAGUCGAACGGCAGCACGGGAGCAAUCCUGGUGGCGAGUGGCGAACGGGUGAGUAAUAUAUCGGAACGUGCCCAGUCGUGGGGGAUAACGUAGCGAAAGCUACGCUAAUACCGCAUACGAUCUAUGGAUGAAAGUGGGGGAGUCGCAAGACCUCGCGCGAUUGGAGCGGCCGAUAUCAGAUUAGGUAGUUGGUGGGGUAAAAGCCUACCAAGCCUUCGAUCUGUAGCUGGUCUGAGAGGACGACCAGCCACACUGGAACUGAGACACGGUCCAGACUCCUACGGGAGGCAGCAGUGGGGAAUUUUGGACAAUGGGCGCAAGCCUGAUCCAGCAAUGCCGCGUGCAGGAUGAAGGCCUUCGGGUUGUAAACUAGCUUUUGUUACGGAACGAAACGGUUACUCUCU